AUACCUCAGUAACGGCGAGUGAAGCGGUAAAAGCUCAAAUUUGAAAUCUGGCUCUUUUAGAGUCCCGAAUUGUAAUUUGUAGAAGAUGGCUUCGGGUGUGGUUUCCGGUCUAAGUUCCUUGGAACAGGACGUCAUAGAGGGUGAGAAUCCCGUAUGUGACUGGGAUACCUAUGCUCAUGUGAAGCUCUUUCGACGAGUCGAGUUGUUUGGGAAUGCAGCUCAAAAAUGGGAGGUAUAUUUCUUCUAAAGCUAAAUAUUGGCCAGAGACCGAUAGCGCACAAGUAGAGUGAUCGAAAGAUGAAAAGCACUUUGGAAAGAGAGUUAAACAGUACGUGAAAUUGUUGAAAGGGAAGCGCUUGCAAUCAGACUUGCACUUGGUGUUCAUCAGGGUCUCGUACCCUGUGUACUUCAUCAAGUUCAGGCCAGCAUCAGUUUGAGUGGUUAGAUAAAGGCUUAGAGAAUGUGGCCCUCUUCGGGGGGUGUUAUAGCUCUAGGUGCAAUGUAGCCUACUUGGACUGAGGACCGCGCUUCGGCUAGGAUGCUGGCGUAAUGGUUGUAAGCGACCCGUCUUGAAACACGGACCAAGGAGUGUACCUAAUAUGCGAGUGUUUGGGUGUCAAACCCAUACGCGUAAUGAAAGUGAACGCUGGUGAGAACCCUUAAGGGUGCAUCAUCGACCGAUCUUGAUGUCUUCGGAUGGAUUUGAGUAAGAGCAUAUUGGGUGCGACCCGAAAGAUGGUGAUCUAUACGUGAAUAGGGUGAAGCCAGAGGAAACUCUGGUGGAGGCUCGCAGCGGUUCUGACGUGCAAAUCGAUCGUCAAAUUUGCGUAUAGGGGGCGAAAGACUAAUCGAACCAUUAAGGAAUAGACCAAGCUCUAGGUGGUUGAGAAACCCCCUUGGGGGUAUUAGUCCUGGAGACAGGGGCGACAUUGUCAAAUUGUUCGGGGGACCACCUGUUAAAUUACACGCUACCGCAACAGGUGCUGAAAGGCCCUGUGAGCACUAGAGGGUAACGCCUCUAGGGGAUGGUAAUAACGCGUGUAUAGGGUAUAUCCGCAGCGAAGUUCUAAGGCCUCACGCCUACGAAUCGCGUUCACAGACUAGCCGGCAAUCGGCUCCUCGCGGGGCUUACACAUAUAGUCGAACUCAGCACAGAUGAGCA
rnacentral:rRNA from 1 species